UUGAACGCUGGCGGAAUGCUUUACACAUGCAAGUCGAGCGGCAGCGCGGGGGCAACCCUGGCGGCGAGCGGCGAACGGGUGAGUAAUGUAUCGGAACGUACCCUGUCGUGGGGGAUAACACAGCGAAAGCUGUGCUAAUACCGCAUACGACCUGAGGGUGAAAGCGGGGGAUCGCAAGACCUCGCGCGAUAGGAGCGGCCGAUAUCGGAUUAGCUAGUUGGUGGGGUAAAGGCCUACCAAGGCGACGAUCCGUAGCUGGUCUGAGAGGAUGAUCAGCCACACUGGGACUGAGACACGGCCCAGACUCCUACGGGAGGCAGCAGUGGGGAAUUUUGGACAAUGGGCGCAAGCCUGAUCCAGCCAUGCCGCGUGAGUGAAGAAGGCCUUCGGGUUGUAAAGCUCUUUCAGACGGAAAGAAAUCGGGCGCGUGAAUAGCGUGCCUGGAUGACGGUACUGUCAGAAGAAGCACCGGCUAACUACGU
rnacentral:rRNA from 1 species